rnacentral:rRNA from 1 species
UACGUAGGUGGCAAGCGUUGUUCGGAAUUAUUGGGCGUAAAGGGCGCGUAGGCGGUUUGUUAAGUCGGCUGUGAAAGCCCGGGGCUCAACCCCGGAGGGUCAGCCGAUACUGGCAGGCUAGAGUACGGAAGAGGUAGCUGGAAUUCCCGGUGUAGCGGUGAAAUGCGUAGAUAUCAUGAGGAAUACCAGAGGCGAAGGCGGCUACCUGGACAAUUGCUGACGCUCAGGCACGAAAGCGUGGGGAGCAAAAGGG